rnacentral:tRNA from 1 species
AAGAGCAUAGUAUUAACGGUUAGUAUAACGAUCUUCAAAAUCCUUGGUAGGUGUUCGAUUCACCUUGCUCUUG